UCUUGUGGGGCGGCGGCUUUUGUUCUAUCUGAGGAGGGGAUCGGUGGGAGCUGGCCGAGGUGGGGCGGAGACGGCGGAGGGGAUCCUCCGGUGAUUAGUAACGGAGAUGGCGCGCGGCGAGUCUCCCCAGGGAAGGAGAGCUUGUACGCAGGGGGCUGCAGGUGGGAUAGAUGCUGGCCUGGAGAGGAACUUGGCGGAGCUGCCCCGUCGUGCGUGCCACCAGCAAGUUCCAGUCGGUGGAGGCGGCAGUAGUCGGCGGCGCCAGUUGGGCGCAUGAUGGAGUGCCAAAUCUGCAUGUAUGACGACUAUAGAGGUCACAAAGCAAAUGGCAUAUCAGUUUUGGAAUACGUUUUGGGAGCAGGGGACAUCAUUACUGCUGUUUACAGGACCUCCAAGGAUGGCGUAUCAGCUUCAAGAAUGGUUGAAGGAUUUCAUGGAGAAGAACCUAAGGGUCGACACCUCUAUGAAGAUUACCAUCAGGCCCAGCAACUAUGGAGAACUUGUUAGUAUCAGUAUAAGUCUUCAGGAGGAGCAUAGAAGAGUCUUUGGGAGCUUUCCCUAGUGCUUAAGUUCUCCAUCUUUAGCCGAUCACUUAUUCUGCAUAUGUUUUAUAGAUUCAGUCUUUUCUGAUAUAGUGUGAACUCAAGAACAGAUAUGUGAUGAAGAAGCAGCAAGCAUGAAACCAAGAAGAUGCAACAACUUUAGUUU